ensembl:lncRNA
AAGGACCCAAAAUUUUACCUUGGGGAGCUCUUUUGUGUGCUUUGUUUUAGAUGAUUUUUUUUUGUUUCUGGCCAUUUUAUGUCUGUAUUUGAACCCACAAUUGUAAAAACCGUACAUGACCAUCCAUGUGAUGUAAAAGAAAACGUGACUCAUCGGACCAGACAACCUUCUUCCACUGCUCCAAGGUCCAGUUCCAACUCUCCAAGGUCCAGUUCCAAUGCUCCAAGGUCCAGUUCCAACUCUCCAAGGUCCAGUUCCAACGCUCCAAGGUCCAGUUCCACUGCUCCAAGGUCCAGUUCCAACACUCCCAGGUCCAGUUCCACUGCUCCAAGGUCCAGUUCCAACGCUCCAGUGUGCUGACGCAUUCCUCCCAUAACCAUCGUUAAAACGUCUGUGACUUCACACAUCGAUGAGCCUUGGGCGCCCAACACCCUGUCACCAAUUUGUGGUUUGUUCCUCCUCAGAUCACUGUCGGGAGGUACUCACCACUGCUGACCGGGAGAACCCCACAAACCCCGCAGUUUCAGAGAUGCUAUGACCCAGUCAUAUGGCCAUAACAAUUUGGCCCUUGUCAAAGUUGCACAGGUCUUUACUCCAGUCCAUUUCCCCUGCAACAAACACGUUGACUAUUAGAACUGAUUGUUUUCUUAGCGUCUAGUCUACCCAGACCUUAACAUUUGUCCUUGUUAGGGGAUGAUCAACUUCAUUCGCUUCAACUAUGAGUGGUCAGAAUGUUUUGGCUCAUCAGGGUAUUCCAUCCGAGGGCAACCCUACUCGAUUACUAACCCCCCCAAACCCGGACGGUGCUGGGCAUUGCACAGCUCUUCAAGGGAACCCUGUGCAUAUCCGAAAGCAAGAUUUGAACCCUGGUCUCACAAUGAUGGCGUUACAUGCAAGGCAUUUGGGCGCCCUAGACAUUUUAACUGUAAAAGGAAUCUGUUUGGUAAGAUGCAGUCAAAUACCAGAUUUGGGAAACAAGAGCUCUAUAUAAAAAAAAAUUAAAAUCAUGCAGUGUGAAACAAUCAGAAAAAAGCUGUGCAAAUCAGAUACAAUAAAUCCAAUUUAUCAUUUGACUUGACCCUGUUUUCCAUCUGCCGUUGAGAUGCAAAACCGGAGUUGAUAUAUUCAACCUUGUUUUCCAUAACUCAAACAUACGCUGCUCCACCAGAUCUCCAUUUCUGUUUGCUCCUCCUUUUGUCUUUAACCUCGGUAGUGGAGAACCAGUUCUGUUGACAUAGACGGUCAAGAUGGCUGACUAAUCAAUUGUUUUUGAAGUGUUAAUAUUCAAUAUCAAUAUGAAAGCAUGUGUAGCGUCACUAAUAGACAGACGGUACAUCCAACUACAGAACAAGGUGAGUUCCUUAAAUAAUGGUUAUGGUCCACCACACCACAGAAGACAUGUGAUCCCCCUUCUACCCGGCCCCCAUCUAGUGUCAUAUAAACUCAUUUGAAUGAUGUAACAAAU